GGCGAUUGGUGGAAAAAACCCGAAGAAUUCCAACUCUCGAUUCAAACUAAAACCGGAAGAGGCAAUAAUGGUGAAUCGUCAUUUUUCAGCUCCAACGAAUCUCGAUUCAAGUUCGAACGAUUGGAUGGCAUUGCAGCUAUGAAUAGCAGCUUGCGCCUUUAUAACCUGUCACAAUGCAAGUUGAAGAGAAUCAGUCCCAUGAUGACUUGGAAUAAGCAUGAAGCUGUAAUUGGUUGUACCUCUUCAAUUCGUUUCUUGAGUUGUAUAAAGCUUUCUGUCGAGAAGGCUCUAAAGGUGCCUCCAAUGGUGACGAAUCUGGAAUAACAUUGAAUGCCCCACCUCCUUGGAAUUUUCCAACUGUUACAACCUGAGCAAAACAAUGCUUGUUUUUAGUGAUGGAGAUGAUAAAUAAUUGGUACUUCCAUUUGAAA